AUUUUAUCUACAUGAAGUUGGCAAAGAGUUUGAGCCAAAGGCCAAUAAUCCUAUGCCAGGCUCAGCAGAUCUUUGUCUCAUCACGAAGACCCCGCUGGAAACAGUUGCUGCCCAUCUGAAGAAAUGUGGUGUGAAGAUUGAGGAAGGGCCAGUUGAGAGGACAGGAGCAGUAGGCCCAAUCAAGUCUCUGUACUUUAGAGACCCUGACCACAACCUGAUUGAAGUUUCCAACUAUAUUAAUUAAGACUUAAGGUUAAAUUGUGGAGGGGACUGUUACUCUCUUAACAGUAAUAUUUGGGCCAAAAUUAUGCAAAAUAAUUGUGAACCUUUUUCUUUGUAAAUUUACUUGUGUAUAUAUAUA